CCUACGGGAGGCAGCAGUGAGGAAUAUUGGUCAAUGGGCGUAAGCCUGAACCAGCCAAGUCGCGUGAAGGAUGAAGGUGCUAUGGAUUGUAAACUUCUUUUAUAAGGGAAUAAAGUGAGGCACGUGUCCUAUUCCGCAUGUACCUUAUGAAAAAGGAUCGGCUAACUCCGUGCCAGCAGCCGCGGUAAUACGGAGGAUCCGAGCGUUAUCCGGAUUUAUUGGGUUUAAAGGGUGCGUAGGCGGGCUGUUAAGUCAGUGGUGAAAGUCUGGGGCUCAACCGUAGAAGUGCCGUUGAAACUGGGAUGAUUGAGUAGAUGAGAGGUAGGCAGAAUGCGUGGUUUAGCGGGGAAAUGCUUAGAGAUC
rnacentral:rRNA from 1 species